AGCACCGCAUCAGACCUCCACCGCCCGUGCGCUUUAAUCUCCUCCAGACCCACCCCAGCAUUGGCAGCCGCGGUGGCACCCCCCUUGCGCAAGCUGUGGGCCGAUAUCCUAGCUAGAUCUAGCCUCAACUCCGGCUCGUACCCCUGCAACUCACCCAGCAACACCUGCAGCCUACUAGUGAAAUCCCCGCGCCGCCACGCCGUCCCCGGCUUGCCCGGCCCAGUGAUUCCCCGUACGAAGAGGGGGGAGUGACCCUCGGCCGUCCGCAUGCACUCCAGGUGCCGCUGUACUAUGCGAGCAAUGGGGAUGCCGCUCUGGGUGAGUGCUGCCAGGCACACCAACGCCCCCUCUCCCUUCUGGUCCGUCUUGCUACGUACGAUCUGCAGCCCCACACCCCCUCCCGG
rnacentral:lncRNA from 1 species